UUAAAUUGAAGAGUUUGAUCAUGGCUCAGAUUGAACGCUGGCGGCAGGCCUAACACAUGCAAGUCGAACGGUAACAGGAAACAGCUUGCUGUUUCGCUGACGAGUGGCGGACGGGUGAGUAAUGUCUGGGAAACUGCCUGAUGGAGGGGGAUAACUACUGGAAACGGUAGCUAAUACCGCAUAACGUCGCAAGACCAAAGAGGGGGACCUUCGGGCCUCUUGCCAUCGGAUGUGCCCAGAUGGGAUUAGCUAGUAGGUGGG
rnacentral:rRNA from 1 species